UUUUAGGGAUAAAUUCGUUAUUUCAGGUAAAAUUCAUUAAAAAGACUGGAAAUUGCUAAUUUCUCCAAAUUCAUGAAUUGGAUCGAUAUAGGGCCCGUUGUAAUUGGACAAACAGAUGACAACUAAAAAUAUAGUUGGAUCGAUGGCACCAGAUGCUAAUUAGUAUUCCAACCCGAAUCGAUAACCCUAAUGGAAUCGAUAUCACCAUACGCGCAUACGUAUAUAUAAGGUUUCAAUUGGAUAUUUGGGGGGAUGUAUUGAAGCGGUUUGGUAUUUGGAGUCAAGUCAUCUGGAUCGGUGUCGUGUCGUCAUGUCUUCAUCGUUUGUUCUCCGUGUCAACGUCAAAACGUGUUUUAAUGGCUAAAUAUCUACAGCCUUUAUCUACUUCAACAACGUGUUCCUAUAUGCUACAUGUUCUUAACUGGCUAAAAAGUCUGAAACAUGCUUUUUAAUUUCAAAUAACACCGAACACCAGUUACAUUCCUGUUCUCACUAUGUUUUAUAUAUAGGGCACCAGUCUCGGAGGAAAUGAUCCGGACCUGGUUAUAUCAUCAAUAUUCAACAAUAAGUGCCUAGCUAAUCAGUGGGCAGUCUAUCAAGACCAUUCAAGUGAAGAUGGCUAUACUGUGUAAUUAAUAUCGUUUUGCUGUGCAUUAGUUGCAAUGUAGAGUAGAGCCGAUUAUCAAGCAUUCAUAAACAUGUGCGAAAAACGGUAUGCGUAUUUCUAAUUCAAAAUAGUUAUUCUCGCUAGCUAGUCGUUUCCCAUUUUCUAAAAUAAGCCGAGAUUUUGCAAAAAAAAGCAGCCAAAUCAUGAAUGUUUAGGAAAUAGAAUAAAUGUAAAGAACUGCUUAAAAUUUUCUGCGAAGUUCUAUUAACGAAAUGAUUGUUCUCGCUAGCUAGCCGUUUUUAUUUUCCCAAAUUAGUCGAGGCAUUACGAGAACAUGCCCCAAAUUAUGUCUAUUUAAUUAAGGAAAUCAAAUUAUGUGUUAAGUACUGCUUAAAACGUUCCGCGAAUUCUGCCCUCCAAAACAACUGCUCUCGCUAGCUAGUCGUUUCCAAGUUCUAAAAUAAUCCGAGUUUUUGCAAAAACAGCUCACAAUUUAUAAAUGUUUUGGAAAAUAAAAUACGUGUAAAGAUCUGCUUAAAAUUUUCUGCGAAUUUCUAUUAACAGAAUGAGUGUUCUCGCUAGUUGGCCGUUUUCUAUUUUCCAAAAUUAGUCGAGGCAUUGCGAAAACAUGCCCCAAAUUAUGAUUACUUUAGGAAAUGAAAUUAUGUGUAAGUACUGCUUGAAACGUUCCGCGAAUGUCUAUUUCCGCAACUAUUGUUCUCGUUAGCUAGAUUCGCGACAAAAUUUUGCAAAAGCAGCUCCAAAUUAUGUAUAUUUCGCAAAAUUAAAUAGGAGAUUCUCUUUAUUUAACUCAACCUAAUGACCGACAUUAAUUUCCCCCCUUUCAAAUGAUUAACCAAUGCCCAAGCUUAAUAAUAAUAGGUAGAAACAUUUGCUUAUAUUGAGGUUUUCUAAUAAUAAUCGUUCAUUUUUCAAAACUGUUGAAAACCGUCAGUCGUCAAACGCCUAAAUAAUAUUUCACCGUGAUUUCAAUACUGUUAAUAUUCGAUUUCACUGAAGGUAUUAGUUUGAGCUACAACGCGAGAUAACUAUAUCUAGUCUUGCUCUAUUAGUUUGACAUAUUUGCAUUCAUGUAAACUGAAUUCGCCUCCAAUCAGUAAUGAAGUCUUAAACUUGCUUUUUCAAUUUCAGAUAGCACAGAACACUAGUUCCAUUCCUUCUAUUAGUAUGUUUCAUAUAUAUAUAGGACACCAAAGUCGUGGAGACAAUGAUCCGGGCUUGGUUAUAUCAAUAUUAUGUCCCCAGCUAUUCAGUGGGCAGUCUAUCAAGACCAUUCAAGUAAAUAUGACUGUGUAUGUACCAUAUAAUAAUAUAUACACAUACAUACUAUGUAAUCAAUAGCGUUUUGCUUUGCAUUAGUUGCAAUGUAGAGUAGAGCCGACUAUCAAGCAUUCAGAAAUACUAGCAAAAAAUUCUGCGUAUUUCUAAUUCUAAAUAAUUGUUCUCGCCAGCUAGGUGUUUCUCAUUUUCUAAAAUAAAUCAAAACAGCUCACAAAUUAUGAAUGUUUUAGAAAAUAAAAUAAGUGUAAAGAAAUGCUCAAAACGUUCUGCGAACUUAUAUUAACAAAGCGAUUGUUCUCGCCAGUUAGCCGUUUUCUAUUUCCAAAAUUAGUCGAAGCAUUGCGAAAACAAGCCACAAAUUAUGUUUUUUCAAGAAAUAAAAUUAAGUGUUAAAUACUGCUUGAAACGUUCCGCGAAUUUCUAUUUCCGCAACUAUUGUUCUCGUUAGUUGGACGCGCUCCAAAAUUUUGCAGGAGCAGCUUCACAUUAUGAAUAUUUCGGAAAACGAAACAAGAGAUUCUCUUUAUUUAACUCAACCUAUUGACUCUCAUUAAUUUCGCCCUUUUUCAAUGAGUACCCAAUGCCCAAGCUUAAUAAUAAUAGGUAGAAACAUUUGCUCAUAUUAAGGUUUUCUAUUUAUAAUAAUCUAUUUCCUCAAUGCUGUUAUAAAGCUUCAGUUUAAUCACUUUUCAUAUUUGAUUUCACCGUGGGCAUUAGUUUGAGCUACAGCAUGGAAUUCUAUCUAGUCUUGCUGUAUUAGUUUGGCAGAUUUGUAUUCGUAUAAUAAUGAACGGAUGUUGUAGCCAGGGAUGAAUUGAACCAUUGAGCAAAAUAGGAACUUGCCUAGGGCACCAAAUUAAUGGGGCACCACAGAAAUUAUCAUAGACACUUUUCAAUAGUGCCUCAGUGUUUAUUGAAAUGAUUGGUCAGCUUGGAAAGGCUAUUCAGACCCCAAUAGCCGUAUGGUUGAGAUGACUUUUGCUUGAUUUUUUAGCUAUCGCCAUCCAUCUAUAAAUGUUUGUAGGCAUGAGAUGAGAACUUUUUGAAAGGAGAUUAUUAAAAUUAAAUUAGCCUUCAAUCAAUAAUAAAGUCUGAAACUUGCUCUUUCAAUUUCAUAUAACACGGAACACUAGUUACAUUCCUAUUUUUAGUAUGUUUAUAUAUAGGGCACUAAAGUCCUAGGUAGAGGCAAUGACUCGGGCCUGGUUAUAUCAACAAUAUGUCCCCAGAUAAUAAGUGGGUAGUCUAUCAAAACCACUCAAGUAAAGAUGACUGUGUAUAUACUAUAUAAUAAUAGAGUCGACUAAAAAGCAUUCAGAAAUAUUUGCGAAAAACGUUUCGUGAAUUUUAACCCCCAAAACAUUGGUUCUCGCUAGCUAGUCGUUUUCAAUUUUCAAAAUAAGUCAAGUCUUUGCAAAAAAAACUCACAAAUUAUGAAUGUUUCAGGAAAUGAAAUCGGUGUAAAGUACUGCUUGAAACGUUCCGCGAAUUUUUACCUCCAAAACAAUUGUUCUCGCUAGCUAGUCGUUUUAUUUUUACAAUGAUCCGAGUGUUUGCAAAAACAGCUCACAAAUUAUGAAUGAUUUAGAAAAUAAAAUCAGUGUAGGGUAGCCUACUGCUUGAAACGUUCCGCGAAUUUACAUUUCCGCAACUAUUGUUCUCGUUAGCAAGACUCGCGUCAAAAUUUUGCAAGAGCAUGCAGCUUCAAAUUAUGAAUAUUUUGGAAAAAUGAAAUAAUUCGCUUUAUUUAACUGAACAUAAUGACCCUCAUUAACUUUGCUCUUUUUUAAUGAUUACCCAAUGCCCAAGCUUAAUAAAAAGUAGAAACAUUUGCUCAUAUUGAUUUUUCCUAUUUGUGAUAAUUCAUUUCUUUUAUGUUACUUUGUUUCUCUCGUUUUAAUUAAACUGCAACAGUGCAUUCGAUAAAAAAGAAAGAAGCGAAGAACGAUUAUAUAUUCUGGAUACUUCGAGCAGGGAAUAACAGUUUUCUUGGGGGAAAAAGCUUGUUGGAGAUCCUGGACUGAACUCAGUACUUUUCGUAUAACUGUUUGUUAUAUAUCAGUGAAAUAGCAAAAUCUUUUCCAUGUUCUAUACAUAGCUUAACGCUUUAGCCAAUAGGCCAUCGCACAAACAUCUUCAAAAAAAAAAUAAAACUUGUUCAAAUCAGCAAAA